GGAGGGAUACCCAAGUGGCUAAAGGGGGCAGACUGUAAAUCUGUUGGCUCAUGCCUUCGAUGGUUCGAAUCCAUCUCCCUCCACCA
rnacentral:tRNA from 2 species